GGGGAUUUAGCUCAGCGGUAGAGCGCUUGUUUAGCGAGCACAAGGCCCUGGGUUCGGUCCCCAGCUCCG
rfam:Rattus norvegicus chromosome 4, whole genome shotgun sequence.